rnacentral:rRNA from 1 species
AUUCCAGCUCCAAUAGCGUAUAUUAAUGUUGUUGCCGUUAAAAAGCUCGUAGUCGAACUUCGGCCCCUGCCACCCGGUCCGCCUAUUUGGGUGUGUACUGGAGUGGUGGAGGCUUACCUCGUGGUGAACGGCCAUGUCCUUUAUUGGGUGUGGUCGGGAACCAUGACUUUUACUGUGAAAAAAUUAGAGUGUUCAAAGCAGGCUUACGCCCGAAUACAUUAGCAUGGAAUAAUAAAAUAGGACGUGCGGUCCUAUUUUGUUGGUUUCUAGGAUCGCCGUAAUGAUUAAUAGGGAUAGUUGGGGGCAUUCGUACUCAAUUGUCAGAGGUGAAAUUCUUGGAUUUAUUGAAGACGAACUACUGCGAAAGCAUUUGCCAAGGAUGUUUUCAUUA